AAAAAGCUUUUGCUGAUUUAUGGGAUUUUUUUCGUACGUCUACAGACUGACUGGCUGGUUGCUGAAGGUGCGUGCGGCCACUGCGAACUCGUACUUCUUCCCCUGUACAUGGUGGCAUGCUGCAGACUUGACAGCCUUGCAAGGGAUCUCUUCGCACUGCUGCCAUGCCUUGUUUUCUCACGUGAGAUCGGCACCACCACAGUUUGAAAGUCGACGAAAUUCGAGGUUUUAGCCGGCCGGUGACCGAAUAGAGAGGGGACGUCGUGACGCAGAUUCAUUCAUAGAUGG